rnacentral:tRNA from 1 species
AAUACCAGGCCAAGUGGUGAAGGCUUUGGAGUUAAAAUACAAUGGGCCCAUGUCCAUGUGGGUUCAAGCCCCACUCCUAAUA